UUCGAAAGCAGGGGGUGCCCGCAAGGGAGCGCGGAGACAGGUGGUGCAUGGCUGUCGUCAGCUCGUGUCGUGAGAUGUUGGGUUAAGUCCCGCAACGAGCGCAACCCUCACCUCUUGUUGCCAUCAGGUCAUGCUGGGCACUCUAGAGGAACUGCCCCGGUCAACGGGGAGGAAGGCGGGGAUGACGUCAAGUCAUCAUGCCCCUUACGUCCUGGGCUACACACGUGCUACAAUGGCCGGUACAAAGGGAUGCCACACCGCGAGGUAGAGCUAAACCCAAAAAGCCGGUCUAAGUUCAGAUUGGAGUCUGCAACUCGACUCCAUGAAGGAGGAAUCGCUAGUAAUCGCGUAUCAGCACGACGCGGUGAAUACGUUCCCGGGCCUUGUACACACCGCCCGUCACACCACGAAAGCCAGUUGUACUCGAAGUCGCUGAG
rnacentral:rRNA from 1 species